rnacentral:piRNA from 1 species
UAGGUGGGAUGAAUGUGACAAAGCCU